rnacentral:ncRNA from 1 species
UAAUAUACUUUAUUUUGGUAUAGGAGUUUUCUUAAAUCUUUUUUUUACAUGUAAAUUUAAGUAUUAUUUUUAAUAUAGUUAAAACAGUAAAUAAAAUUAAUUAUUUAAAGAAAUUUAGAUUUAGAAAUAGAUAAGUAAAUUAACUAAUUUUGUGCCAGCAGUUGCGGUUAUACAAUAAAUUUAAAGGAAAUAUUAUGGCUUUAUUAACUUUUAAUUAAACUAUCUAUACAAUUAUUAUAUUUAGGUAAAAUUUUUAUUUUAAUUCAUAUGAUUAAACUAAAGGUUAAGAAAUUAGUAAUGAAACUAGGAUUAGAUACCCUAUUAUUUUAAUUUAAAUAUUUUGGCUGGAGUAGUACUAGUUAUGAUCUUGAAACUUAAAAAAUUUGGCGGUAUUCUAUCUUAUUAGAGGAACCUGUUUAUUAAUUGAUAAUCCACAACUUAAAAUACUUUUAUUAAUAUACUUGUAUACCGCUGUCAUGAGUAUAUUUAUAAAUUUAAUUUUCCUUUAAUUUUUAUGAAAUUUAUGUUAGGUCAAGGUGCAGUUUUUAAAAGAAAAAAAUGGGUUACUAUAUAGAUUAUGAAUGGAUUUUAAUUUUUAAUAUUAAAUGAAAAAGAAUUUGAAAGUAAUUUUGUUAAAGUAACAUUAUGAAUAAAGAUUCUAGAAUAUGUACACAUUGCCCGUCGCUCUUAUUUAAGGUAAGAUAAGUCGUAACAUAGUAGGUGUACCGGAAGGUGUACCUGGAUU